rnacentral:rRNA from 1 species
UACGGAGGGUGCAAGCGUUGCUCGGAAUUAUUGGGCGUAAAGGGUAGGUAGGUGGUCUUAUUUGUCUGGGGUGAAAGCCUUGAGCUUAACUCAAGAAGUGCCUCAGAAACGGUAAGACUAGAGUCCUGGAGAGGGUCGUGGAAUUCCCGGUGUAGCGGUGAAAUGCGUAGAGAUCGGGAGGAACACCAGUGGCGAAAGCGGCGACCUGGACAGGCACUGACACUAAACUACGAAAGCGUGGGGAGCAAACGGG